rnacentral:rRNA from 1 species
UGCUCUGUGGAUCAGUGGCGAACGGGUGAGUAACACGUGAGCAAUCUGCCCCUGACUCUGGGAUAAGCGCUGGAAACGGCGUCUAAUACCGGAUACGAGCUGCGACCGCAUGGUCAGUAGCUGGAAAGAAUUUCGGUCAGGGAUGAGCUCGCGGCCUAUCAGCUUGUUGGUGAGGUAAUGGCUCACCAAGGCGUCGACGGGUAGCCGGCCUGAGAGGGUGACCGGCCACACUGGGACUGAGACACGGCCCAGACUCCUACGGGAGGCAGCAGUGGGGAAUAUUGCACAAUGGGCGAAAGCCUGAUGCAGCAACGCCGCGUGAGGGAUGACGGCCUUCGGGUUGUAAACCUCUUUUAGCAGGGAAGAAGCGAAAGUGACGGUACCUGCAGAAAAAGCGCCGGCUAACUACGUGCCAGCAGCCGCGGUAAUACGUAGGGCGCAAGCGUUAUCCGGAAUUAUUGGGCGUAAAGAGCUCGUAGGCGGUCUGUCGCGUCUGCUGUGAAAACCCGAGGCUCAACCUCGGGCCUGCAGUGGGUACGGGCAGACUAGAGUGCGGUAGGGGAGAUUGGAAUUCCUGGUGUAGCGGUGGAAUGCGCAGAUAUCAGGAGGAACACCGAUGGCGAAGGCAGAUCUCUGGGCCGUAACUGACGCUGAGGAGCGAAAGGGUGGGGAGCAAACAGGCUUAGAUACCCUGGUAGUCCACCCCGUAAACGUUGGGAACUAGUUGUGGGGUCCAUUCCACGGAUUCCGUGACGCAGCUAACGCAUUAAGUUCCCCGCCUGGGGAGUACGGCCGCAAGGCUAAAACUCAAAGGAAUUGACGGGGACCCGCACAAGCGGCGGAGCAUGCGGAUUAAUUCGAUGCAACGCGAAGAACCUUACCAAGGCUUGACAUAUAGAGGAAACGUCUGGAAACAGUCGCCCCGCAAGGUCUCUAUACAGGUGGUGCAUGGUUGUCGUCAGCUCGUGUCGUGAGAUGUUGGGUUAAGUCCCGCAACGAGCGCAACCCUCGUUCUAUGUUGCCAGCACGUAAUGGUGGGAACUCAUGGGA